AUUGAACGCUGGCGGCAUGCUUUACACAUGCAAGUCGAACGGCAGCACGGGUGCUUGCACCUGGUGGCGAGUGGCGAACGGGUGAGUAAUGCACCGGAACGUACCCAGUAAUGGGGGAUAACGCACCGAAAGGUGUGCUAAUACCGCAUACGCCCUGAGGGGGAAAGCGGGGGAUCGAAAGACCUCGCGUUAUUGGAGCGGCCGAUGCCGGAUUAGCUAGUUGGUGAGGUAAAGGCUCACCAAGGCGACGAUCCGUAGCUGGUCUGAGAGGACGACCAGCCACACUGGGACUGAGACACGGCCCAGACUCCUACGGGAGGCAGCAGUGGGGAAUUUUGGACAAUGGGCGAAAGCCUGAUCCAGCCAUGCCGCGUGAGUGAAGAAGGCCUUCGGGUUGUAAAGCUCUUUCGCAAGGAAAGAAAACUUAGCCACUAACACUGGUUGAGGAUGACGGUACCUUGAUAAGAAGCACCGGCUAACUACGUGCCAGCAGCCGCCGUAAAAC
rnacentral:rRNA from 1 species